CACCGGCUGGCUAGGUCACUCUGUAAGGUCUCCUUGAAUGGCCUGGAGUUCAUUAUGUACACCAAACUGUCUUCAAGAUCACGAAGAUCUACUCGCUUCUGCUUCCCAUGUGCUGGGAUUUAAGAGCCCUCAUCCAGUGGUUGAUGGAAGCAGAGGCAGACACCCACAGAUAUACACUGAACUGAACUCUGGAACCUAGUUGCAGAGAGGGAAGAAUGAAGAUCAAAGGGCUCAGUACCAGGCUGGUGAAACCACAGAAACAGCUGGCCUGAACAAGGGGGAGCACAUGGACCCCAGACUUCUGUCUGGGAGGCAAGCACAGGACUGAUGCAGACUCCUGAACAUGGAUGUCAAUGAGGAGGCCUCUGUACUUUAGGGGGCCCCUGGAAGUGGAUUACUAUUUUUCCCUGGUGUAAGAAGGGACUUUGAGAGCCCAUCCCAAGCCUCUGCCUGAACACAUGGGGGAGGGCCUAGGUCCGGCCCAGGAUGGGUGGUAGACUUUG
rnacentral:lncRNA from 1 species